rnacentral:rRNA from 1 species
CCCUACGGGGUGCAGCAGGCGAUGUCAUUGCUCGUAUUGACUCGACCGACUACCAGGCGGACCUGGCGGCUGCGGAGUCGCGCUACCGGAGCACCAUUAUCAGUCUCGAAACGUCGUCGACGACAGACCUCGCUGCCACAAAGACGCAGCUGGAGAACGCUGUCAAGCAGGCGCAAACGCAGCUGCUGUCAGCACAGAUCAACCUCAGGAAGGGGUCAGAGACGGACCCGGACAGCGAUGCGCAGACGAUCACGAACCUCCAGAACCAGGUGCUCGACGCACAGGACGCGCUGACCACCGCACAGGAGAGC